rnacentral:rRNA from 1 species
AUGUGGUUUAAUUCGAAGCAACGCGCAGAACCUUACCAACCCUUGACAUCCUGUGCCACUACCAGAGAUGGUACGUUCCCUUCGGGGACGCAGUGACAGGUGCUGCAUGGCUGUCGUCAGCUCGUGUCGUGAGAUGUUCGGUUAAGUCCGGCAACGAGCGCAACCCACAUCUUUAGUUGCCAGCAGUUCGGCUGGGCACUCUAAAGAAACUGCCCGUGAUAAGCGGGAGGAAGGUGUGGAUGACGUCAAGUCCUCAUGGCCCUUACGGGUUGGGCUACACACGUGCUACAAUGSCAGUGACAAUGGGUUAAUCCCAAAAAGCUGUCUCAGUUCGGAUUGGGGUCUGCAACUCGACCCCAUGAAGUCGGAAUCGCUAGUAAUCGCGUAACASCAUGACGCGGUGAAURCGUUCCCGGGCCUUGU